AUGUUUGUAUAUAUUUUUACCAAUUCUACAGGUCAUUCACAUUUCACUACUGUCCACGGUACAAAUUUCCAUCCAAUAACCACAAUUACAACAACACCCAAAUCCACUAUGAACAAAAACACACAUGAUACGAAUAGUUUCAAUAUACAAGGUAAUGUCAAACAGAUCCAAAAAUAUGCAAGAAAGAGAAGAGAUUGCGGUUGCCGUCUCUGUCUCACGAAUUAG